rnacentral:rRNA from 1 species
GACGAACGCUGGUGGCGUGCUUAACACAUGCAAGUCGAACGGAAAGGCCCUGCUUUUGUGGGGUGCUCGAGUGGCGAACGGGUGAGUAACACGUGAGUAACCUGCCCUUGACUUUGGGAUAACUUCAGGAAACUGGGGCUAAUACCGGAUAGGAGCUCCUGCUGCAUGGUGGGGGUUGGAAAGUUUCGGCGGUUGGGGAUGGACUCGCGGCUUAUCAGCUUGUUGGUGGGGUAGUGGCUUACCAAGGCUUUGACGGGUAGCCGGCCUGAGAGGGUGACCGGCCACAUUGGGACUGAGAUACGGCCCAGACUCCUACGGGAGGCAGCAGUGGGGAAUAUUGCACAAUGGGCGGAAGCCUGAUGCAGCAACGCCGCGUGCGGGAUGACGGCCUUCGGGUUGUAAACCGCUUUCGCCUGUGACGAAGCGUGAGUGACGGUAAUGGGUAAAGAAGCACCGGCUAACUACGUGCCAGCAGCCGCGGUGAUACGUAGGGUGCGAGCGUUGUCCGGAUUUAUUGGGCGUAAAGGGCUCGUAGGUGGUUGAUCGCGUCGGAAGUGUAAUCUUGGGGCUUAACCCUGAGCGUGCUUUCGAUACGGGUUGACUUGAGGAAGGUAGGGGAGAAUGGAAUUCCUGGUGGAGCGGUGGAAUGCGCCAGAUAUCAGGAGGAACACCAGUGGCGAAGGCGGUUCUCUGGGCCUUUCCUGACGCUGAGGAGCGAAAGCGUGGGGAGCGAACAGGCUUAAAUACCCCUGGUAGUUCCACGCUGUAAACGGCGGGUACUAGGUGUGGGGUCCAUUCCACGGGUUCCGUGCCGUAGCUAACGCUUUAAGUACCCCGCCUGGGGAGUACGGCCGCAAGGCUAAAACUCAAAGGAAUUGACGGGGCCCCGCACAAGCGGCGGAGCAUGCGGAUUAAUUCGAUGCAACGCGUAGAACCUUACCUGGGUUUGACAUGGAUCGGGAGCGCUCAGAGAUGGGUGUGCCUCUUUUGGGGUCGGUUCACAGGUGGUGCAUGGCUGCCGUCAGCUCGUGUCGUGAGAUGUUGGGUUAAGUCCCGCAACGAGCGCAACCCUUGUUCACUGUUGCCAGCACGUUAUGGUGGGGACUCAGUGGAGACCGCCGGGGUCAACUCGGAGGAAGGUGGGGAUGACGUCAAGUCAUCAUGCCCCUUAUGUCCAGGGCUUCACGCAUGCUACAAUGGCUGGUACAGAGAGUGGCGAGCCUGUGAGGGUGAGCGAAUCUCGGAAAGCCGGUCUCAGUUCGGAUUGGGGUCUGCAACUCGACCUCAUGAAGUCGGAGUCGCUAGUAAUCGCAGAUCAGCAACGCUGCGGUGAAUACGUUCCCGGG